CCAACCCAGGAGAUGGGCAUGAAGGUGCGGCCAAGCCCAGCGGGUCCAAGGGUACACCCUUUGGGAUGAGCUUAAGAGCCACUUCCCAGGAAGUCUGUGUCCUUCGCAGCCUGGGCACCUCACGGGUGAGCUGGGCACGACCAGCACCGCAUAGAGCCGGGAAGGAAUCUGACUCAGUUCCAGGACCAUGUCUGAGGCCUGGCCAAAUCCUGCCUGCCCUUGGUGGCUCUGAGACCUGGUUCAUCUGAGAAACUGGGUGAGGUGGACUGGGGUGCCCUGAACUGGGGUGAACAGGAGGCCAGACUCCCCGCACUCACUGAGAUCUUCGAGUCAACCGUGAAGGAGCACGGAGCUUCGUGAAACAUGCAAAUGUCAUCCUCCCCUACCCCAUACUUCACAACUCUGCCCUGUCCCUGCUUGUCCAAGACGCCCACCUGGCCAUGGACUUCACCAUAUGAUAAAUAUAUGCACGGGUGACUCUCUUUUUUAAAAGUUUAAAUGACAUAGCACAGCCCCUGAGCCCAGAUAUCAACCGUGUAAUACUUCCCAGGCUUUCGCCUCCAAGCUGACAGCUCACUGCAAGGCCGCGCAGCUCAGAACCCCAUCCCCAGCACCGCCCAGCGAGGGUUUGAAGGAGGACAAACUGCUUGGUAAAAUGCGGCUGCCCAACCAGGAGAGAGCAAGGGAAGCCCUUUCUUCCUCGGCAUCGGUUCCUCCAUCGAUUCUAGAUCGCCAGACCCACACCUGCCCAUGCCAGGGGCCACUUCCUGUGUGUCCUCAGGGACCAGUUUGGUCGCGGCCCUCACGUCAACCCUUUAUCAUGGGGGUCCAUGCAGCAAUGACUGUCUCUGCGCCAAUCUGCGGAAGCACAGAAGGAGGAACUUCAGGACAUGAAGAGAGAAGAGAGCUCUCCCCAGAGACUUCCUCCUUAGGGUGCACACCUGCUGCCACAGCCACUACCCCUCAUCUUCCCUGGGCUCCCAAGGCUGAAGGCACAGCCCUGCCCAGCCCCAGGAAGGAGGGGUUCACACUGGACCCCGUGCCGAGCAUCUGACAGGUCCUGGGGCAUCGUGUCUGAUCCUCUGCAGGGCAGGAGUAGACGUGGAGGAACUUAUCCAAGGCCACACGGCAGGGAGUGUGACGGCGAGAAGCCUUCAGAGUCAGGACUGGCCUGGUCAGAGCAAGCACGGCACUGCUUGUGCUGCCUGACCACCUGUAAGGGCAGGACCUGCCUGGCUCCUGGUCAAGGGCUCUGAGAUAGCAUCGCGGUGGCCCAGUCCACCCAGAGCGGCCAGGAGCAUCACAGUGGGGGAGGGGGUGGCCAGCGCGGGGAUGACCCUUGCUCCAACUGUGACUCCCCCACUGUUGCCCCCAGAAGCCAGAACUCCACCCACAUGCCAGUUUUCCUGGCAGAAGAGACCCUCUCCCGGCAACCUGGGCAGAGACACCCGACCCCCAACCUCUUAGAAUGUCGUGCUGCCUCUCCUCAGCCCCCUCCCUUCCCGCCCCUCCCCUGCCCCCCAUGC